GUGAGUGAAUGACUCCUCUGCUUCUUCCUGAAUCAGAGGUGAAAGUUAACUGCUCCCCAGUGGAUUUUUACUUUUGUCUUGAAGUGAGAACACUCGGUCUCACGAACAUCAGAUGGAAGUGUAUAAUUGCUUUGUUUGCGUCAGGGACGAGGCAGUUAUUCCACCCGAGGCAGUAAUUUCAGCUAAUAUUUUCAACAGAUUUCCUUCUGUUUGUAUGUGAGGUAAUUUUGGAGCGAGACGUGUGACUGCAGUCGCAAGACGUCACUAUGACCCGCUUGGAGGCGAUACGGCUACUGCUCGGCCCAUUCUUAUUACGUCGCAGUCUGAGAUCGACACUUCUCCACUGGCAGGACGGCGGCUAGCAGAACAAGCUACUGCUAACCACUGAGUGUUUUACUGCUCCACUGCGGCAGGAGAUUCCCACCGGGACUGGAGGUGGCACAGAGCAGAUGGAAGUCCAACCAGACAACCAGCAAACAGUGAGACACAAGGGCUACAAUCAGCACACAGCAACACAAAAAGCACCAGUAAACAGGAACAUUUGAGGAUGGACUCCACAGCCUCAUGGCACUCGGCCUGAGAGACGACUGAGUGAACAUCUUGUUGGCACUCUGGGGAGCGUGAAGCUGUGUGUGCACAUACAGCGCCGACAUGUUUCACUUGUUGUUUUCAGUGGGGAGGACCUUGAACUUCAGCUUGUUUUAUACAAAGUUAAAAAUAGACUGCCUUUCUCUUCCAGGGAAUUUGAUGCAAUUUCUUGGUGCUCACAGAGAAGCCAGCACAUUGUGCACAUCUACAACUCAAAAGAGUUCAAAAAGAGUUCAAAAGAGUUGCUUUGCUCAAGGAAUCUGUAUAACUCCAGCAUCACAUAUCCCAAAAUAUCACUCAUAUAUCCAGGGAUUCUAAAAACAUCCAAAAAUUAUGACUGGCUUCGAAAGCAGUUCACAAAAUCAUGUGGAUAUCUUCAUUCUUACAAUGAAAUUCUAAAGUACAUUCAAAUAAUUGACUGUCCUGUAAAUGUCAUGGUUGUAACUCAGCUG